rnacentral:rRNA from 1 species
AAGAAGGCCUUCGGGUUGUAAAGCACUUUCAGUCGUGAGGAAGGUGGUAGUGUUAAUAGCACUAUCAUUUGACGUUAGCGACAGAAGAAGCACCGGCUAACUCCGUGCCAGCAGCCGCGGUAAUACGGAGGGUGCGAGCGUUAAUCGGAAUUACUGGGCGUAAAGCGCAUGCAGGUGGUUUGUUAAGUCAGAUGUGAAAGCCCGGGGCUCAACCUCGGAAUUGCAUUUGAAACUGGCAGACUAGAGUACUGUAGAGGGGGGUAGAAUUUCAGGUGUAGCGGUGAAAUGCGUAGAGAUCUGAAGGAAUACCGGUGGCGAAGGCGUAAACGAUGUCUACUUGGAGGUUGUGGCCUUGAGCCGUGGCUUUCGGAGCUAACGCGUUAAGUAGACCGCCUGGGGAGUACGGUCGCAAGAUUAAAACUCAAAUGAAUUGACGGGGGCCCGCACAAGCGGUGGAGCAUGUGGUUUAAUUCGAUGCAACGCGAAGAACCUUACCUACUCUUGACAUCCAGAGAACUUU